AGCUCAGUUGUUUAGAGCAUGGUGCUAAAAAUGCCAAGGUUACAGGUUUGAUCCCUGU
rnacentral:tRNA from 1 species